GAUGAACGCACAAGACGUGCCUAACACAUGCAAAUCGAAUGAAAACAAUAAUUCAAUUGUUUUCAUGGUGAACGGGUGAGUAACACAUAAGAAUCAGCUUUUAGAUAAGGCAUAAAAGAGUAAUAUCUUGGUAAUUCCUUAUAUGCGCAGCAGUGCUUAAAAAGGGGAGUCCCGUCUAAAAACGAGCUUAUGCCUGAUUAGCUAGUUGGCGAGUUAAAAGCUCACCAAGGCGAAGAUCAGUAGCUGGCCUGAGAGGGCGGCCAGCCACAUUGGGACUGAG
rnacentral:rRNA from 1 species